AGCACUUGUACUGUGAAACUGCGAAUGGCUCAUUAAAUCAGUUAUCGUUUAUUUGAUAGUACCUUACUACAUGGAUACCUGUGGUAAUUCUAGAGCUAAUACAUGCUAAAAACCCCGACUUCAGGAAGGGGUGUAUUUAUUAGAUAAAAAACCAACGCCCUUCGGGGCUCCUUGGUGAAUCAUAAUAACUUAACGAAUCGCAUGGCCUUGCGCCGGCGAUGGUUCAUUCAAAUUUCUGCCCUAUCAACUUUCGAUGGUAGGAUAGUGGCCUACCAUGGUGGCAACGGGUAACGGGGAAUUAGGGUUCGAUUCCGGAGAGGGAGCCUGAGAAACGGCUACCACAUCCAAGGAAGGCAGCAGGCGCGCAAAUUACCCAAUCCCGAUACGGGGAGGUAGUGACAAUAAAUACUGAUACGGGGCUCUUUUGGGUCUCGUAAUUGGAAUGAGAACAAUUUAAAUCCCUUAACGAGGAACAAUCGGAGGGCAAGUCUGGUGCCAGCAGCCGCGGUAAUUCCAGCUCCAAUAGCGUAUAUUAGAGUUGUUGCAGUUAAAAAGCUCGUAGUUGAACCUUGGGUCUGGCUGGCCGGUCUGCCUCACCGCGAGUACUGGUCCGGCUGGACCUUUCCUUCUGGGGAACGUCAUGGCCUUCACUGGCUGUGGGGGGAACCAGGACUUUUACUGUGAAAAAAUUAGAGUGUUCAAAGCAGGCCUUUGCUCGAAUACAUUAGCAUGGAAUAAUAGAAUAGGACGUGUGGUUCUAUUUUGUUGGUUUCUAGGACCGCCGUAAUGAUUAAUAGGGAUAGUCGGGGGCGUCAGUAUUCAGCUGUCAGAGGUGAGAUUCUUGGAUUUGCUGAAGACUAACUACUGCGAAAGCAUUCGCCAAGGAUGUUUUCAUUAAUCAGGGAACGAAAGUUAGGGGAUCGAAGACGAUCAGAUACCGUCGUAGUCUUAACCAUAAACUAUGCCGACUAGGGAUCGGACGGGAUUCUAUGAUGACCCGUUCGGCACCUUACGAGAAAUCAAAGUUUUGGGUU
rnacentral:rRNA from 1 species